rnacentral:rRNA from 1 species
GACGAACGCUGGCGGCGUGCUUAACACAUGCAAGUCGAACGGAAAGGCCCUGCUUUUGUGGGGUGCUCGAGUGGCGAACGGGUGAGUAACACGUGAGUAACCUGCCCUUGACUUUGGGAUAACUUCAGGAAACUGGGGCUAAUACCGGAUAGGAGCUCCUGCUGCAUGGUGGGGGUUGGAAAGUUUCGGCGGUUGGGGAUGGACUCGCGGCUUAUCAGCUUGUUGGUGGGGUAGUGGCUUACCAAGGCUUUGACGGGUAGCCGGCCUGAGAGGGUGACCGGCCACAUUGGGACUGAGAGACGGCCCAGACGGGAACGGGAGGCAGCAGGGGGGAAUAUUGCACAAUGGGCGGGAGCCUGAUGCAGCAACGCCGCGUGCGGGAAGACGGCCUUCGGGUUGUAAACCGAUUUCGCCUGUGACGAAGCGUGAGUGACGGUAAUGGGUAAAGAAGCACCGGCUAACUACGUG